rnacentral:rRNA from 1 species
CCUACGGGGGGCUGCAGUCGAGAAUCAUUCACAAUGGGGGAAACCCUGAUGGUGCGACGCCGCGUGGGGGAAUGAAGGUUUUCGGAUUUUAAACCCCUGUCAUGUGGGAGCAAAUUAAAAAGAUAGUACCACAAGAGGAAGAGACGCCUAACUCUGUGCCAGCAGCCGCGGUAAUACAGAGGUCUCAAGCGUUGUUCGGAAUCACUGGGCGUAAAGCGUGCGUAGGCUGUUUCGUAAGUCGUGUGUGAAAGGCGCGGGCUCAACCCGCGGACGGCACAUGAUACUGCGAGACUAGAGUAAUGGAGGGGGAACCGGAAUUCUCGGUGUAGCAGUGAAAUGCGUAGAUAUCGAGAGGAACACUCGUGGCGAAGGCGGGUUCCUGGACAUUAACUGACGCUGAGGCACGAAGGCCAGGGGAGCGAAAGGGAUUAGAUACCCGAGUAGUC